UGUCGUCAGCUCGUGUCGUGAGAUGUUGGGUUAAGUCCCGCAACGAGCGCAACCCCUAUCCUAUGUUGCAAACCCCGCAAGGGGUGCACUCUUAGGAGACUGCCUCGGAUAACGGGGAGGAAGGUGGGGACGACGUCAAAUCAUCAUGGCCUUUAUGUCCAGGGCUACACACGUGCUACAAUGGCCGGCACAGCGGGACGCAAUACCGUAAGGUGGAGCAAAUCCCCAAAACCGGCCCCAGUUCGGAUUGUGGGCUGCAACCCGCCCACAUGAAGUCGGAAUCGCUAGUAAUCGCAGAUCAGCAGGCUGCGGUGAAUACGUUCCCGGGCCUUGUACACACCGCCCGUCAC
rnacentral:rRNA from 1 species